rnacentral:rRNA from 1 species
UCCAGACUCCUACGGGAGGCAGCAGUGGGGAAUAUUGCACAAUGGGGGGAACCCUGAUGCAGCGACGCCGCGUGGGUGAAGAAGUCAUUCGUGACGUAAAGCCCUAUUAGCAGGGAAGAAAAUGACGGUACCUGACUAAGAAGCCCCGGCUAACUACGUGCCAGCAGCCGCGGUAAUACGUAGGGGGCAAGCGUUAUCCGGAUUUACUGGGUGUAAAGGGAGCGUAGACGGCAGUGCAAGUCUGGAGUGAAAGGCGGGGGCUCAACCCCCGGACUGCUCUGGAAACUGUACGGCUGGAGUGCAGGAGAGGGAAGUGGAAUUCCUAGUGUAGCGGUGAAAUGCGUAGAUAUUAGGAGGAACACCAGUGGCGAAGGCGGCUUACUGGACUGUAACUGACGUUGAGGCUCGAAAGCGUGGGGAGCAAACAGGAUUAGAUACCCGUGUACUG